rnacentral:rRNA from 1 species
AUUGAACGCUAGCGGCAGGCUUAACACAUGCAAGUCGAGCGAGCGGCGGACGGGUGAGUAAUGUAUGGGAAACUGCCUGAUGGAGGGGGAUAACUACUGGAAACGGUAGCUAAUACCGCAUACCAUCAGAUGUGCCCAGAUGGGAUUAGCUAGUAGGUGGGGUAAAGGUUCACCAAGGCGACGAUCCCUAGCUGGUUUGAGAGGAUGACCAGCCACACGGGGACUGAGACACGGUCCAGACUCCUACGGGAGGCAGCAGUGGGGAAUUUUGGACAAUGGGGGAAAGCCGGAUGCAGCCAUCCCGCGUGUGUGAAGAAGGCCUUCGGGUUGUAAAGUACUUUUAGCGAGGAGGCGUUAUUCGCAGAAUAAGCACCGGCUAACUCCGUGCCAGCAGCCGCGGUAAUAC